AAUCCUCAUCCCCACAAUCCCAACCCCUCAAAACCCCGACUCCUCUUUUUUUCCUCUCUCACGCUCGUGUCGAAGUCCCGACUCCUCAAAAUCUCGAUCUCGAUCUCAAUCUCGAUCUCUCUCCAUCGCAGGGUUAGGGUUUCGUAGACUUCGAAGAAUCGACGGAUGGAGAUUCUCUCGAGAUCCAGUGAAGAAGACGAGGACGAGUACUUGAGACGCGAGGGUUCCUCUCAAAGAGGACUCAAUAAAUUCUUCGAGACAUGAAGUUGGACACAAUGGAGAGAAAGGAGAAGAGUUGAAGGAUAAAUAGAGGAUUCUACAUAUGUUUUCUUUUAAUAGUUUAUGUUGUAGUAAUUUGGCUAGUUGUAGCAAAUCAUGGUUACUUGUAGCAAAUCAUGGUUAUCAACUAUCUAUAGCAUGUUGUAUUUUAAAUGAAGGCUUAUUGUGUAGCCUAGAGCUUCUUAUGAGGAUUUUUUGCUAAACUCUAUUGUGUCAUUGAGUCUUUUUAUCAUGACUAGUUAAUGGAGUAGUAUUUUUAUUCUU